rnacentral:rRNA from 1 species
CGCGGCCUAUCAGCUUGUUGGUGGGGUAAUGGCCUACCAAGGCUUCGACGGGUAGCCGGCCUGAGAGGGUGACCGGCCACACUGGGACUGAGACACGGCCCAGACUCCUACGGGAGGCAGCAGUGGGGAAUAUUGGACAAUGGGCGGAAGCCUGAUCCAGCAACGCCGCGUGAGGGAUGACGGCCUUCGGGUUGUAAACCUCUUUCAGCACCGACGAAGCGCAAGUGACGGUAGGUGCAGAAGAAGGACCGGCCAACUACGUGCCAGCAGCCGCGGUAAUACGUAGGGUCCGAGCGUUGUCCGGAAUUAUUGGGCGUAAAGGGCUCGUAGGCGGUUUGUCGCGUCGGGAGUGAAAACACCGGGCUUAACUCGGUGCUUGCUUUCGAUACGGGCAGACUUGAGGUAUGCAGGGGAGAACGGAAUUCCUGGUGUAGCGGUGAAAUGCGCAGAUAUCAGGAGGAACACCGGUGGCGAAGGCGGUUCUCUGGGCAUUACCUGACGCUGAGGAGCGAAAGUGUGGGGAGCGAACAGGAUUAGAUACCCUGGUAGUCCACACCGUAAACGUUGGGCGCUAGGUGUGGGAUCCAUUCCACGGGUUCCGUGCCGUAGCUAACGCAUUAAGCGCCCCGCCUGGGGAGUACGG